rnacentral:tRNA from 1 species
GCCUGGGUGGCUCAGUCGGUUAAGCAUCCGACUUUAGCUCCGGUCGUGAUCUCAUGGUUUGCAGGUUUGAGCCCUGCAUCAGGCU